GCAGUGGUGGUUCAGUGGUAGUGUUUUUGCCUUCCAUGCAGGAGACCUGGGUUCAAUUCCUGGCCAGUGCA
rnacentral:tRNA from 1 species